UAAUUCUGGUAGAAACAAAGG
rnacentral:misc_RNA from 1 species